CACUACACUGAGCAUGCGCAACAUUCCCUCCCCCCCCUAGCCUAGGCACGUGUCCGUCUGGGCGCACCCCCUAACAUACACAAGCAGCGCAGGCACGCCCGCACCUCGUCGAUCGUCGCUUCUGUUAUUAAUAUUUAUUAUCUCGAUAAUGUCUCGUGAGGAAUCACAGAUUCCAACAACCUCAACUUCUCAUGCAGAAAAGUAUGAAGACUUAUUACAAAGAAUGCGGCAGCGCCCCGAAUUAUGAAAGAGUCGCGAUUACUUUACAAGAGAUUCAACGCAUGCAAAUAAAGUCACUGUCACUGAGAGUGAAGAGAAAUCGGAGGAGGACACAGAAAAAGAAAGCGUGGACACCAGGGCAAUCAGAAAAGCUGCUAUCGCAGCUUUACCGUAUGGGUAUACGGGUAUCUUGGGUCUGGUAAACGGAAAGCGAUACCAGCUUGUGCGGUGAAGGCCAUCAGAGCAGCAUUCCCCGACCCAAAAGGGCAAUAUGUGGGCUUUCUACAAGCCUGUGAUUUUGCAGCCGAAUUUAUGAUAUUUUAUUAGUAAAAUAUUAUAACUGCAAUUGUUCAAAGUUAUUUAUAAUGUUUAAAUUUUUUUUUAUACUGGUUUUCUUUAAAUAUGUUAUAUUUAUUUAAAUAAAUUUAAAGAAAUAUUUUUUUAUUAUUUUAUGGAAA